rnacentral:SRP_RNA from 1 species
AGUCGGGCCCCGUGCGGCGGUGCAGCGUGAAGCAUGUCAGGGCCGGAAGGCAGCAGCAUUAAGCGUUUUGUAUCGCGCGCCGCGGGAAGCCUGGCUCGA